GCCCGGAUGCUGAAAUUGGUAGACAGGCACGUUUGAGGGGCGUGUGUGGAGACACGUGCAGGUUCAAGUCCUGUUCCGGGCA
rnacentral:tRNA from 1 species